UACAGAGGUGCCAAGCGUUAGGCGGAAUCACUGGGCUUAAAGCGCGUGUAGGUGGACGGGUAAGUAUCUUGUGAAAUCCCACGGCUCAACCGUGGAACUGCUGGAUAUACUGCUUGUCUUGAGGCACUUAGGGGCAGCUGGAACAAAUGGUGGAGCGGUGAAAUGUGUAGAUAUCAUUUGGAACGCCAAAGGCGAAAGCAGGCUGCUGGGAGUGAUCUGACACUGAGACGCGAAAGCCAGGGGAGCAAACGGG
rnacentral:rRNA from 1 species